GCUGCCGUGGCCGAGUGGUUAAGGCGAUGGACUUGAAAUCCAUUGGGGUCUCCCCGCGUAGGUUCGAAUCCUGCCGACAGCG
rnacentral:tRNA from 1 species